GAAAAAGGCAUGUUACCAUCCAACUUUGCCACUUGAAAUGAAACUAGAAAAACAUCCUGAGAACAGAGGAGAGAUGUUAAGCUCCAGUCCUUCUAUUCCGCCAUCUUAACCCCAUCACCGGGUUCUGGCUCCUGUUAACCUUCUCCUCUCCUCAUUUCCACGUGAAGCAGCUUCAGGAACACACAGGCAUCCAGCCGUUGCUCCAUCCC
rnacentral:lncRNA from 1 species